rnacentral:rRNA from 1 species
GACCUCGGAUCAGGCCAGGCUACCCGCUGAAUUUAAGCAUAUUAAUAAGCGGAGGAAAAGAAACUAACAAGGAUUCCCUCAGUAACGGCGAGCGAAGCGGGAAUAGCUCAAAUUUGAAAUCUCCGGUGCGUGCACCGGCGAAUUGUAGUCUGUAGGGCCAGUUUCGCCCGAGACGGUGUCCCCAAAGUCGUCCUGGAAAGGCGGGCCGGAGAGGGUGAGAGCCCCGUGCGCGGGGGCACCGUCGGAGGUAAGAGCUGUGCCCGAAGAGUCGGGUUGUUUGGGAUUGCAGCCCAAAAUGGGUGGUAAACUCCAUCUAAAGCUAAAUACUGGCACGAGACCGAUAGCGAACAAGUACCG